UUUUUUUUGCGUUAUAUUUCCCAAGCCUAUUUCCUCUUUAAUGCACCUUUCAUAAGGGAAUAAAUUGGUUGCAGUACAUUUAUCUACUAUCAAGGCCUCUUUUAAUUUGGGUGCAAAAAUCCUAUAAGCUGGGCCAUGAGGCCUGGUUCAUUAACUAAAUGGAAUUAUACACAAAAUAAAAAAUAACUAAAAAGAGCCGUGUACUCAAUGUAUGGAGGCUGAUGCAUGCAUAUUGUAUGUUUCAAUGAUUUCCUGAACCCUAUGUGCAAAUAUUUUAACUGCGGCUCCGACUCACCCUCAAAUUAUAGGUGAUUACCUGUUUAGCGCAUUAAUAGCACGAGCAAACAAAUGGUUGGAGAUGAUUUCUAAACAUAAUUCAGGAUUCAAAGGUUCAUGGUGCAUUUGCGGGGUUCAGUGGUAUAACAACAGGCAUUUGCAAUACCCAUUAUGUGUAUCUUCCCAUUACAGAAGUUAUCAGAACUCAAAGACGUGUUGACCCCAAUAGCAGAAUGUGGCACCGUUGUUUGACCUCAACUGGCCAGCCUCACUUCACUACACCUUCCUCUUCCUAAUUUUAUAUUCUACAUAAAUUAGAAUAUUUAAUAAUCUCUAGACCUUUUUAUUCUUAUUUCACCACUAUUCAACUUUAAGGAGAUAAGAAAUUUUAUAUUCUGAAAUACGCCACAAAUCAUUUAAUUGUGUCAUGAGUCAUACUAGUUUUAAUCUUUAUAGUGGAGGCUAAAAUUUGCCGAUAAUAAUAUUUUUGUUGCAUUCGUGUUUUACAAAAGUAAUGAUAAGAAGAGUUGGGACUAUUUAAGUGAUUUUCAUGUACAGGGGUGGAAUUUAUGAAUCAUUCCAAAUUCAGUUUAUUUGAAAAAUGAUGAAUAAGAUGAUCAAUAU